rnacentral:rRNA from 1 species
AAGCUUCAGAUAGUCAGGAAUCGUACCCCAAACCGACACAGGUGGUCGGGUAGAGAAUACCAAGGCGCUUGAGAGAACUCGGGUGAAGGAACUAGGCAAAAUGGUACCGUAACUUCGGGAGAAGGUACGCUCUUGAUGGUGAAGUCCCUCGCGGAUGGAGCUGACGAGAGUCGCAGAUACCAGGUGGCUGCAACUGUUUAUUAAAAACACAGCACUGUGCAAAAUCGCAAGAUGACGUAUACGGUGUGACGCCUGCCCGGUGCCGGAAGGUUAAUUGAUGGGGUUAGCGCAAGCGAAGCUCUUGAUCGAAGCCCCGGUAAACGGCGGCCGUAACUAUAACGGUCCUAAGGUAGCGAAAUUCCUUGUCGGGUAAGUUCCGACCUGCACGAAUGGCGUAAUGAUGGCCACGCUGUCUCCACCCGAGACUCAGUGAAAUUGAAAUCGCUGUGAAGAUGCAGUGUACCCGCGGCUAGACGGAAAGACCCCGUGAACCUUUACUACAGCUUGGCACUGAACAUUGAACCUACAUGUGUAGGAUAGGUGGGAGGCUAUGAAGACGUGACGCCAGUUGCGUUGGAGCCGUCCUUGAAAUACCACCCUUGUAUGUUUGAUGUUCUAACUUAGACCCGUUAUCCGGGUUGAGGACAGUGCCUGGUGGGUAGUUUGACUGGGGCGGUCUCCUCCCAAAGAGUAACGGAGGAGCACGAAGGUGGGCUAAUCACGGUUGGACAUCGUGAGGUUAGUGCAAUGGCAUAAGCCCGCUUAACUGCGAGAAUGACGGUUCGAGCAGGUGCGAAAGCAGGUCAUAGUGAUCCGGUGGUUCUGUAUGGAAGGGCCAUCGCUCAACGGAUAAAAGGUACUCCGGGGAUAACAGGCUGAUACCGCCCAAGAGUUCAUAUCGACGGCGGUGUUUGGCACCUCGAUGUCGGCUCAUCACAUCCUGGGGCUGAAGUCGGUCCCAAGGGUAUGGCUGUUCGCCAUUUAAAGUGGUACGCGAGCUGGGUUUAGAACGUCGUGAGACAGUUCGGUCCCUAUCUGCCGUGGGCGUUGGAAGAUUGAAGGGGGCUGCUCCUAGUACGAGAGGACCGGAGUGGACGAACCUCUGGUGUUCGGGUUGUGUCGCCAGACGCAUUGCCCGGUAGCUAAGUUCGGAAUUGAUAAGCGCUGAAAGCAUCUAAGCGCGAAGCGAGCCCUGAGAUGAGUCUU